GCCGGGAUCGCCUAGCCAGGUAUGGCGUCGGAUUGCUAAACCUUGCUUGCGCAGGUGUGGAUAUCCGAUGGGCCUUAGGCCCUCGUGGGUUCAAAUCCCACUCCCGGCG
rnacentral:tRNA from 1 species